AACGAACGCUGGCGGCAGGCCUAACACAUGCAAGUCGAACGCCGUAGCAAUACGGAGUGGCAGACGGGUGAGUAACACGUGGGAACGUACCCUUUGGUUCGGAAUAACUCAGGGAAACUUGAGCUAAUACCGGAUAAGCGCGAGAGCGGAAAGAUUUAUCGCCGAAGGAUCGGCCCGCGUCCGAUUAGCUAGUUGGUGAGGUAAUGGCUCACCAAGGCGACGAUCGGUAGCUGGUCUGAGAGGAUGAUCAGCCACACUGGGACUGAGACACGGCCCAGACUCCUACGGGAGGCAGCAGUGGGGAAUAUUGGACAAUGGGCGCAAGCCUGAUCCAGCCAUGCCGCGUGAGUGAUGAAGGCCCUAGGGUUGUAAAGCUCUUUCGUCAGGGACGAUAAUGACGGUACCUGAAGAAGAAGCCCGGCUAACUUCGUG
rnacentral:rRNA from 1 species